rnacentral:rRNA from 1 species
CAGUGUCAGGAGAACGGUCUGGAAAGUCCGGCAGUAAAGGGUGAUAGCCCCGUAUCUGAAGAUGCUGUUAUUGUGAACUCGACGAGUAGGGCGGGACACGUGUUAUCCUGUCUGAAUAUGGGGGGACCAUCCUCCAAGGCUAAAUACUCCUGAUUGACCGAUAGUGAACCAGUACCGUGAGGGAAAGGCGAAAAGAACCCCGGCGAGGGGAGUGAAAAAGAACCUGAAACCGUGUACGUACAAGCAGUAGGAGCCCCAUCACUCAAGUGCCUCGCACUGAGUGAUGCAAGAACAUCACCGAAAAUAGCGCCGAAUUUGCUAACAAGGUUGGUCGAUUUUUUCAAGCCGUCGCGCAGUGUACCUAGAAGUACACGAGCAACGGAAGUUAAAAAAUCGGGCAAGAUUGAACGCAAAGGCAAGCGGGACAUUUGAGGAUGGGGUGACUGCGUACCUUUUGUAUAAUGGGUCAGCGACUUAUAUUCUGUAGCAAGGUUAACCGCAUAGGGGAGCCGUAGGGAAACCGAGUCUUAACUGGGCGAAUGAGUUGCAGGGUAUAGACCCGAAACCCGGUGAUCUAUCCAUGGGCAGGUUGAAGGUUGGGUAACACUAACUGGAGGACCGAACCGACUAAUGUUGAAAAAUUAGCGGAUGACUUGUGGAUGGGGGUGAAAGGCCAAUCAAA